rnacentral:rRNA from 1 species
GACGUAGGGGGCCAGCGUUGUUCGGAAUUACUGGGGGUAAAGGGUUCGUAGGCGGUGUAGCAAGUCGGGUGUGAAAUCUCUGGGCUUAACCCAGAGGCUGCUUCCGAAACUGCUGUGCUUGAGUGUGGGAGAGGCGCGUGGAAUUGCAGGUGUAGCGGUGAAAUGCGUAGAUAUCUGCAGGAACACCCGUGGCGAAAGCGGCGCGCUGGACCACUACUGACGCUGAGGAACGAAAGCGAGGGGAGCAAACAGG